CAGAGGUCUGGCUUACUCCCAAAGCAGAAAUCAUGACUCAUCAAGGCUUUCAGAAGGGCCAGAAAGAAGCUGCAUUUGCCUUGAGUUCACCUUCAGGCCAAUACAUGCUCUCUGAACUGAGACUAGGAAACUUGAAUGUUUGUCCUGUGUCUGUGACAACCGGCUGUGAGGCCUUGAACAAAACGCCUGAAAGUCUCUGGAUCUCGGUUUCCUCAUCUGUAGGUGAUCGCCAAGGAAGAUCUCAUCUAGAUUUGUCUAUAUUUGAGAUUUCCAGUCCCCAUUACCUAAAGACAAUUGGCCCACUGCGGGGAACUACAGAACAUCCCUCUCCUCACAAAAGCCAGGGCCCAGGGUCCAAACUCUGGGAGAUGCUUAAGUCCUGGAAGUAGGUGGGGAGAGGGUGUAAAAUCCUCCUCUCUAUGAAAGGGGGCACGCAACUGCAGAGACCAGUCCCUAUCAACGCUAAACCAGGCGAUUCCGGAAGCACCCUCCACCCUCUACCCCUGCUUCAGGUUCAGAUGCUCCAGGGAUGAGGACCGAGCUGAUUCCCGGCAAGGCUAUCAAGAGGGUGAAGAAUACAGAACAGAGGGGUCCUCUCUAUCAGGGGGAGGGAUGCAGAUAUCUGGAAAGGUGUUGGGGACCCGCCAAACGAGGGAGAGGAGCAUGGGGCAGGGUUGGAAGAGAACAGCCCUCAUCUGUUCCUGAUCCCCCUACAUGGACCGCAGGGGUCGGAGGCCCGCACCCCUAGGCUCUCUGGCGCGGAGCGAGGGGCGUGUCCGGAAGCCGAAGCGACAGGGCCCGAUUGAGGUCGCGCUGCUGCGACCCUGUCACUCUCUGGCCGACCCGGCCCCUAACCCUCAGCCCUGCGCGCGAGCAAGCUCAGCAAGACAAAACAAACUCGUGCCGGCUUCCUGUUGUGCAACCCAGUCCUGAGUAAUGCGAGGCCCUAAGGGCGCCGCCGCGGGCCCACCGCUGGGAAGCCCAGGCGGCGGGGACGAGCGGGCUCCCCGGCCCGGCCAGAGCCGGAUUCCAGAGGGAACCGCGGCCCCGCUCGCAGGAGCGCACGGACCCCACGCCGCGGACCCCGCGCCACACCAGCCGCGCGGACCCGGAGCCUCCACCGAACUAGUGUGCUAACCCUCAGGUACCUAACUGAAUCAUCCAUAGGAUGACAAAUCCGUCAGAGCCAAGUUUUCCAGACACUUGGGUGACUUCUUCAUCCCUGAAGUGACUGUCAUCUCCAGUGAGUAACUUGGAAGUGUCGCUCCGGGCAAGGUGUGUGUCUAGGACGGAGCCGGCUGCUCACUCACGCUUUCCAGAGAGCAGCCCGGCGGACUUCAAAUUACACACGGGGUCAUUUAUAGGGACUGAAGCCGUACGCAGGACAAAGUUCCUGAGACUGAGACAUUUUCCAAACAGUGCUGACAUUUUGUAGGGCCGCAAAAAAAAAUGUAAACGCGAGGUGACGAACCCAGCGGGGAGUGUGCGCGUCUGAAUGUGUCUGCGCAUUUUGCGGCGUGGGAGGUUAUAGCUAUAGACCUGGAGGAUGCGGGUCAGCGGACCCACACCAGCGACGAGUUAACGUACCGCUGACCCGAGGACCUCCUGGAGCAAUGGGGAUAUCGGCUUGAGCGAGACACAAGCGUGAAAAACAGACUUCGUGGAGCUCCACAAACACGUGGAACUGGAAAAGACAACUAUAGCCCGUGUGCGCGAGAGACCUCAUGUCACCCCAUCAAUUCUCACUUCUCCAGUUUCCCUUCAGUGUGGACUCAUGGGUGCCUUGCAAGACCAUGCCCGUGCGUCCUGUAACUUGCCCUGAUUUUGUAGCCCUCUGGCUCAUGUAGUUUAAAAGAAAACCAAAAACAAAAAGUCUUCCUAAUUAGAGAAACUUUAAAAUCUC